rnacentral:rRNA from 1 species
UACGGAGGGAGCUAGCGUUGUUCGGAAUUACUGGGCGUAAAGCGCGCGUAGGCGGCUUUGUAAGUUAGAGGUGAAAGCCCGGGGCUCAACCCCGGAACUGCCUUUAAGACUGCAUCGCUUGAAUCCAGGAGAGGUGAGUGGAAUUCCGAGUGUAGAGGUGAAAUUCGUAGAUAUUCGCAAGAACACCAGUGGCGAAGGCGGUUCACUGGCCCGAUACUGACGCUGAGGCACGAAAGCGUGGGGAGCAAACAGG